CUGAUCUAUAUAUAAUAUACUUUACUUUUUAUGAAGUGCAGUUCCCCUCCAAAAACAACAUCACCCCCCCCCCCUUACAUCGCGAUAACUUGCCCAGGGGCGGAUCUAAUGGUUUGUCUUGUUUCAUUUGCAGUUAACUAGACUGUACGUUUUACUCAAUGAAAUUUGGGGGCAGAUAACCGGAUCUAGCCUCAUCUGCAACUGAAGGGUGCAAGUUUUCCAUAUGAGAGAGCCUUACUGCCCACUCUCCUCUGCAGUCUGCAACGCUACUAUAUCCCAACAUUACCAUUAUUUGAGAUGGCCGAAUCUGCAUGUUCGCCGUUCUGUUACGUUUUACAUUAUCUUUUAUUUAUAUAAAGUUUAUAUCGGCUUUUUAUCACCUGAUGCGUGAUUGGACAGUUGCUGUAGCACAGUACAGUAAAUUUACUUGUUAAAGUAUAGUAUAUUUGAAAAUAUGGCUGUUUAACAACCUCGAUAUAUUUUCUGUGUUGGUGAAAUGUACUAUAGGCUAGUAUUCCAAAUGUCGUAGGUUCGCGACGAUUCCCACCGUGCCUUUCUCACACCGCCAUUUUUGGGUGGCUUUUCAGCCGCAGUCUGCGAGAUAAGUCCACAUAACAGCG